rnacentral:tRNA from 1 species
GGAGGGUUGGCCGAGCGGCCGAAGGCGUCACCCUGCCAAGGUGACGUAGUUGGUGACAACUACCAAGGGUUCGAAUCCCUUACCCUCGC